rnacentral:rRNA from 1 species
ACACGUGGACAAUCUGCCCUUGGGUCUGGGAUAACUCCGGGAAACUGGAGAUAAUACCAGAUAGGUCAUAGAUGCUGGAAUGCUCUAUGGCCCAAAGCUCCGGCGCCCAAGGAUGAGUCUGCGGCCUAUCAGGUUGUAGUGGGCGUAAUGGACCCACUAGCCUACGACGGGUACGGGUUGUGAGAGCAAGAGCCCGGAGAUGGAUUCUGAGACAUGAAUCCAGGCCCUACGGGGCGCAGCAGGCGCGAAACCUUUACAAUGCGCGCAAGCGCGAUAAGGGGACCUCGAGUGUUCCUACCUAGUAGGAACUGUCCAGUUGUCUAAAAAACAACUGUUAGCAAGAGCCGGGCAAGACCGGUGCCAGCCGCCGCGGUAACACCGGCGGCUCGAGUGGUGACCGCUUUUAUUGGGUCUAAAGGGUCUGUAGCCGGUCUAACAAGUUCUUUGGAAAAUCUGGUCGCUUAACGAUCAGGCUGCUAGGGGAUACUGUUAGACUUGGGACCGGGAGAGGCUAGAGGUACUUUAGGGGUAGGGGUGAAAUCCUGUGAUCCUUAAAGGACCACCAGUGGCGAAGGCGUCUAGCUAGAACGGAUCCGACGGUGAGGGACGAAAGCUGGGGGCACGAACCGGAUUAGAUACCCGGGUAGUCCCAGCCGUAAACGAUGCGAGCUAGGUGUCAGUUUUAUUGCGAGUAAAAUUGGUGCCGUAGGGAAGCCGUGAAGCUCGCCACCUGGGAAGUACGGCCGCAAGGCUGAAACUUAAAGGAAUUGGCGGGGGAGCACUACAACGGGUGGAGCCUGCGGUUCAAUUGGA